rfam:Rattus norvegicus chromosome 2, whole genome shotgun sequence.
GGGGAUUUAGCUCAGUGGUAGAGCGCUUGCCUAGGAAGCUCAAAGCCCUGGGUUCGGUCCCCAGCUCCG